rnacentral:rRNA from 1 species
CAAUAGCGUAUAUUAAAGUUGUUGCAGUUAGAACGCUCGUAGUCGGAUUUCGGGGCGGGCCGACCGGUCUGCCGAUGGGUACGCACUGGUCGGCGCGUCCUUCCUUCCGGAGACCGUGCCUACUCUUAACUGAGCGGGAGCGGGAGACGGAUCGUUUACUUUGAAAAAAUCAGAGUGUUUCAAGCAGGCAGCUCGCUCUUGCAUGGAUUAGCAUGGGAUAAUGAAAUAGGACUUUGGUGCUAUUUUGUUGGUUUCGAACACCGAAGUAAUGAUUAAAAGGGACAGUCAGGGGCACUCGUAUUCCGCCGAGAGAGGUGAAAUUCUCAGACCAGCGGAAGACGAACCACUGCGAAAGCAUUUGCCAGGGAUGUUUUCACUGA